AUCAUUCCUAUCACUUAAAACAAUUUUUUACAGUAAGGCCCAUAAGAAACACAAGAAACAUAAGAAGCAUCACAAGAAGAAGCACCAUCACAAAGAUAGCGAUGAUAGUGACAGUGAUAGCGAUGAGCACAAACAUAAACACAAAAAGGACAAACAUCACGGUCACGAUCAUAAACACAAACAUAAGAAACACAAGAAAGAUAGUGAUGAUGAUAGUAGAGAACCUCAAGUAAAAGGUAAGCAUCAUUCGAAGCACAAUCACGAUUCAAGCGAUUCAGACAGUUCUUCCGAUUCCUCCAGUUCGGAAGAGAAAAAAAAGAAGCAUAAGCAUUCGAACAGACAUAAGAGA
rnacentral:lncRNA from 1 species